ACAAACCUCUUGCUGAUCACCUGGGCUCUAGCAGCGCUCUUGUGUCUUUCUCUGAAGUUUCAGGCCACAGGAAUGUCUUCAUUUCUUUCCUCAAGCCUGAAUCCAGAGGCACUGCCUGGGAAAUGCUUUAAAUUUCCUUUCAUCAUUGUAGUAGCUACUAAUUAAUAUGGGUCAGUCUUUCCCUCUGAGCACUUUUGCUAAGCUGUGCUUCCUUGUCCUUUACUCCUUCAGUAGUCCCGAUAUCCAGUAUUUAAAGCUAAGUGCAGAAGAGGGGCCAGAUUCAAAGUUAUUCAGAGUCUUCUGAAGGCUUCCCUUGGACCUUGCUGGAUUUGGGGUUGAGCUUUCUGGAUUUUCUCUGCGCUGGAAUCCGCCGGGCUUUGCUGCCGAUGUCUGACAUGCACCGAGCGAAGCAGACAGCUGUAGGAGCUCGCAGGAAAAUCCUGCACGCAGUGCCAGCCUUGGGUGAGGCAUCCCUCCAGCCCCUGGGGAGCUGUGCAGCAUGUGUGUGUGCCACCGAGGCGUGGGGAGGCCUCUCCUUCCCUCUGCCUGGCUCUCUUGGAGGCAUUGGGCUUUCUGAUUCAAAGCCAUCGCACGUCCGUUCUGCCAAAGCCAUUUAUAACUCUCCUGUCACUAACAUACGGGCACCUCACUUCGCCAGAAGAGCCUCGUUCUGGGGAGGACAUGCUGCAGCCACUUGUCACCCAAGCACCAGCUUCAGCAGGGGCUGGGGUGACAGCUUCGUUCCAGAAGCAAAGAAGAGGGCAUGUCCUCACUAUCGGCUGGCUCGCAGCGGCUGCUGAGCUAACGCUGACUUGGCUGAACCAUACAAUGGACGAGCCCCGGCCAUCUUUUGCUUGUUAAAAGAGAAGAGCACAAAUACAAUCUCUACUGGAAUUU
rnacentral:lncRNA from 7 species